AUUGGAUGAGAAUGUCCUUCCAAAUCCUGAGUUUGUGAGGGAAUUCUUAGCUUCUCCCAGGCAGUUGCCUAGAAGUUUAGUACCAGUCCAGAAGCUUCUCACUUGUGCUAGCUCCGUCUCUGGCAGGUAGCGGAGGAGAGUGAUCUGUGCGUAGGAAGAUAUUCCUGGCAGAACAAAGGUGGCUUCAUGUGAAGGGCCGCAGAACAGUGGAGGCAGAUAAACCGUUAGAGGGACUGUUACAGAGUUCAAACCAGGGGGGCGAGCUCUGAACUCCGGGUGGGAAUGAGCCAUUCCAUCUAGCCCAAAUGCAUUGCUGUGUUUCUGCUCCUGCUGUAUAAAACAAUAUAAAUUCUGAGCAGUGCGGAGAUUGGUAAAAUGGACAGACAGGCAGGACCUGCAGUAUGAUGUUGAAAAGCAGCAGCAAUAGGGGACAUCCUUGCCUUGUCACCGGUCUUAGUGAGAGAGCUUCCAGUUUCUCACUAAAAGAAAAAGUACCCUAAAGAAUCCUACCCUGCAGAAAUCUUUCAUUGCUUCAAGAUUCUUUAGAAUUAUGGUGUCUCCAAAGUGAUUUAUUAUUGAUGUACUGAAACACACUUGGGGCUCUCGCUGUUGGCACUGAACAACAUGGAGAGUGAAAAAGACAUCAAUGAAGAAACUAUCAUCAAAAAGCUUAAUUAUUAGUAUUCCUUACAAUGACUCAUAUAAUCCUUACAAUAUAAAUAAAAAUCAAGUUCUCAAACAGCA
rnacentral:lncRNA from 1 species